UACAUGGGGUGCAAACGUUGCUCGGAAUUAUUGGGCGUAAAGCGCACGUAGGCGGUCGCUUAAGUCGGAUGUGAAAGCCCUCGGCUCAACUGAGGAAGUGCAUCCGAAACUGAGUGGCUAGAGUAUGGUAGAGGGUCGCGGAAUUCCUGGUGUAGAGGUGAAAUUCGUAGAUAUCGGGAGGAACACCAGUGGCGAAGGCGGCGACCUGGGCCAAUACUGACGCUGAGGAGCGAAAGCGUGGGGAGCGAACAGG
rnacentral:rRNA from 1 species